AGUGAACGCUGGCGGUAGGCCUAACACAUGCAAGUCGAACGGCAGCACAGUAAGAGCUUGCUCUUACGGGUGGCGAGUGGCGGACGGGUGAGGAAUACAUCGGAAUCUACUUUUUCGUGGGGGAUAACGUAGGGAAACUUACGCUAAUACCGCAUACGACCUACGGGUGAAAGCAGGGGAUCUUCGGACCUUGCGCGAUUGAAUGAGCCGAUGUCGGAUUAGCUAGUUGGCGGGGUAAAGGCCCACCAAGGCGACGUUCCGUAGCUGGUCUGAGAGGAUGAUCAGCCACACUGGAACUGAGACACGGUCCAGACUCCUACGGGAGGCAGCAGUGGGGAAUAUUGGACAAUGGGCGCAAGCCUGAUCCAGCCGUACCGCGUGGGUGAAGAAGGCCUUCGGGUUGUAAAGCCCUUUUGUUGGGAAAGAAAAGCAGCAGGUUAAUACCCCGCUGUUCUGACGGUACCCAAAGAAUAAGCACCGGCUAACUUCGUG
rnacentral:rRNA from 1 species